AGGUGUGUGGCAGACCUCGGCGUGGGGAGCCGUAGCCCGGCAGUCGGGAUGGGAGAGCGGAGCAGGCAUUGCAGGAAGUUUUGGAGAGGAGAAGCUGAGCGGCAACGAGGAGCCUGAGCAGGUACGGUGCAGGCCUUUCCCAGGCGUGGCUGAGGAUUUGAGGUGAAGUAGAAUGGGUGC